GACGAACGCGGCGGCGUGCUUAACACAUGCAAGUCGAACGAAAAGAGGGAAAGAGCUUGCUCUUUCCGGAAUUGAGUGGCAAACGGGUGAGUAACACGUAAACAACCUGCCUUCAGGAUGGGGACAACAGACGGAAACGACUGCUAAUACCGAAUAAGUUCCAAGAGCCGCAUGGCCCAUGGAAGAAAAGGUGGCCUCUACCUGUAAGCUAUCGCCUGAAGAGGGGUUUGCGUCUGAUUAGCUGGUUGGAGGGGUAACGGCCCACCAAGGCGAUGAUCAGUAGCCGGUCUGAGAGGAUGAACGGCCACACUGGAACUGAGACACGGUCCAGACUCCUACGGGAGGCAGCAGUGGGGAAUCUUCCGCAAUGGGCGAAAGCCUGACGGAGCAACGCCGCGUGAGUGAUGACGGCCUUCGGGUUGUAAAACUCUGUGAUCCGGGACGAAAAGGCAGAGUGCGAAGAACAAACUGCAUUGAC
rnacentral:rRNA from 1 species